AACGCAGAUCUAGAACCAAGUCCAAUGACCAACGCUGCACAACACCUCUCAGAAUAAGAAUAUUGGCAGCACCUGCCCCGUGGGUGAGGCGGAGCUAGGGAAAACACCCAGAGCCCCCCACAACACAGUUAAAGAUGUUAACUUGCCUCAUCCUGGUCUCUCUGACUUCUGGCCAAAGCUUUGAGAGUUUCAGGCUUAUGCCCUGAAGAGGAUUUGGGAAGAUCACAUUGGAGCCAGAGGGAAAGCUGCUGAUGGCAGAUUACUCCGGGGCAGCAAGUAACAGAGACGGCCAGGUCGUGAAAGUCUCUAGUCUUCCCCUUAUUUACUUUCUGGGGAAGCGGAACAUAAAUUUAAGAAAAUUCUGGCUGAGGAUAAGGUAUCAUUUCUCGAAGAUGGGUUUGAAAACGUAUACUCCACAAGGAAAAGCCACACUCAUCCUCUACAGGGAAAGUGGCCAGUGUUUUAUGAUUUUGUCUCCGUGUGAAAAUCUUUAUCACUGACCCGAGAAUAUACUCAUCUCUCCCACCCAGAAACAUGCCUUCAUUUUCAGACAACCAACGGGAUGACCACCUGUUCACUUCUCGCAGUUCCCAGACUGAGGUCAGAACACCUGAUUUUGAAUCCUGGCUCCAAGACUUGGAAAGUUUAGGAAGCACUGAAGCAGGAAAGAUGAGGCUCUCAAGGCCUUAGUUAACUUUUUUUUGUCUGAGUCUCAGCCAUUUAAGAGAGAAUGAAAUCUGAAAUCAUUUGAAUAGAACCUAGUCUACCUACUCAGCGAUAUUCCCUACCACAAGAAAACACAGGUUUCCAUCUUGGAAUUUGUGAAAAAGAUGAAGCAUAGAAACAAGAAUCUAAUGUGUGACUUGGAUUUGGAGAGAACAAAUUUUAAAACAUUAACAGAAAAGAAUAUGCCUGAAACUUCUGGAAGAAAACAAAAGAAGACAGAGGAAGGGCAGAAGUUACUCCAAAAUACAAGUUCAUCUGCUACAUUCUUCCCACAGAUUUCCUAAGAUCUAGUGAACAGAAAAAUUCUGAGGCUCAGGAAUUUGAUGAAAAACAGACUGGAGUUCUUAAUGAUACCAAGAGAGAAACAGAAGGCUAGGAUCUUUCCCCCUUUUUCCUUUAAAAGUAAACUUUAAAGUUGAA